AAUAAAGCAGAAAGAAGAUGCCUAAAGACCAAGGAAGAUGGGAAAUUGUCAAAGAAGUUUCCAUUGUCCUCUGUGCAUUUUGCCUGGGAUUAGUGAUAACCCGUCUGGGAUUCCUGCUGUGGGGUCUGGGCACAGGCAUUCUGGGAGCAGAGUCCUGAUUUCAAUGCAACACUGCUGCUGUCCCAGCUCAGCUCAGUCUGUGCUGCCAGGGCAUGAGGAUAAUGAAUAAAAUGGUCAUUUUAAG